UUUUCAUCCUGUCAUAUGUCAAUGAUUAACUCCAACAUUGGUUAAUAUACAUUAUUAUUUUUUGUUCUAGGUCAAAUGUUUAAUGCUAAAAUGUGUCAGUGUGUAUUUUGUACUCACUUGGUAGAAGGUGUUAGUGGAGGAAUUUAACAGUGUUUAUAAUGGGAUGAUUUUAGUGAAUGGGUCAGAAUAAUACAAAAAAAAAAAACAUGAAAAAAAUGAACAACUUUUAAAUUCUGA